UACGGGGGGAGCAAGCGUUGUUCGGAUCUACUGGGCGUAAAGCGUGCGCAGGCGGUUCUGAAAGUCAGCUGUGAAAGCCCCGGGCUUAACCUGGGAAUUGCGGUUGAAACUACAGGGCUAGAAUCUGGCAGAGGGGGGUGGAAUUCCACGUGUAGCAGUGAAAUGCGUAGAGAUGUGGAGGAACACCGAUGGCGAAGGCAGCCCCCUGGGCUGAGAUUGACGCUCAGGCACGAAAGCGUGGGGAGCAAACAGG
rnacentral:rRNA from 1 species